GAUGAAGAACGUAGCAAAAUGCGAUAAGUAAUGUGAAUUGCAGAAUUCAGUGAAUCAUCGAAUCUUUGAACGCACAUUGCGCCCGCUGGUAUUCCAGCGGGCAUGCCUGUUCGAGCGUCAUUUCAACCCUCAAGCCCCCGGGUUUGGUGUUGGGGAUCGGCUCUGCCCUUCUGGGCGGUGCCGCCCCCGAAAUACAUUGGCGGUCUCGCUGCAGCCUCCAUUGCGUAGUAGCUAACACCUCGCAACUGGAACGCGGCGCGGCCAUGCCGUAAAACCCCAACUUCUGAAUGUUGACCUCGGAUCAGGUAGGAAUACCCGCUGAACUUAAGCAUAUCAAUAAGCGGAGGA
rnacentral:misc_RNA from 1 species